UGUGGGGUGGUUAUGGGGGGAUAUGGGGUCAUAUGGGAGGUUAUGGGGGAUAUGGGGUGGUUAUGGGGUCCCUAUGUGUCCCUAUGUGUCCCUAUGUGUCUCUAUGUGUCUCUAUGUGUCCCUAUGUGUCCCUAUGGGUCCCUAUGUGUCCCUAUGGGUCUCUAUGUGUCUCUAUGGGUCUCUAUGGGUCCCUAUGUGUCCCUAUGGGUCCCUAUGUGUCUCUAUGGGUCUCUAUGUGUCUCUAUGGGUCCCUAUGUGUCCCUAUGUGUCUCUAUGGGUCCCUAUGUGUCUCUAUGUGUCUCUAUGUGUCCCUAUGUGUCCCUAUGGGGCCGUAACCCCCGUUUCUCCCCGUUCCAGCCCCACUGAAUCCCGUCUCACGGUGUCCGACAACUCGCUGCUCUGGAGCGCCCCCGUGCGGUACCGGGUGGGAGCCGCGGUCACGUGGCUGGAGGACUCCACCCCAUAUCUCAGCUUCACCCCCGGCCAGACCCACAACUCAACACUGAGGCACCAUUACCAGGACAAUGGAGCCGAGUGCCAAGAGCUGCGGGGACAGAAGGAUGUGGGGCCGCUAUGGGGCCUGGAGAAGGGCUGCAUCCCCCCCCACCCCCCCCUGUUGUUCCGCUGCCCCAUGGGAUCCCACUUGGGGGGCAGAGUGACGCUGAGCGCCAACAUCACACCCCCAACACAAGGACAGCCCCCGUUCCGAUCCCAUUUAUGCUCCCGUUUGUGGUUCCGGUUCGGUUCGGGGCUGUUCCAGCAUCACCCACAAGGGGGCGACAACGGGAUGCAGGGCACGACGGAGGUGGAGCUGCUGCCCCCCCCCCCCCCCAUUGCUCUUAAUGUACGUGGGGGGGCUGCGGCGGGGCGGGUGAUGCUGCUGCCCUAUGGGCGUCGCUGGGCGUGGCGCGAAGGUAAAUUUGCAUAAUUUGCAUAUUAAUGAGCUAAGGGGAUGGGGUGGGGGGUCACUAAUUAGGGUAAGGUUAAUUAGUCUGGAGGGGUAAAUUAAUUAAGGGGGUUAAUUAGAGCUUGUUAAUGGGCCGGGGGGGGGUGAUGCUGCUGCUCCUAUUGGGCGUCCUCCUGUCCAAGGUAAUUUGCAUAAUUGCAUAUUAAUGAGCUAAGGGGAUGGGGAUGGGGUUAAUUAACCAGGGGGGUUAUUAAAUGGGGAGUAAUUAAUUAAGGGUUUAAUUAGAGGAGGUCAGUUAAUUGGGAGGAUGGGCGAAGGGGCUGGGAUAGGGGGAUCACUCUAAUUAUCAGGGGAUAAUUAGGCAUAUUAAUUUGCUUAAUUAGCAUACUAAUGAGCUUACACAGGGGAUGGGGGGGCUUAAUUAAUAGGGGGGUUAAUAGUGGGGUGUCGCUUCGACUGGUAAUGUGUGAAUGUAAGGGAGUUAGAUUAGGAGCUUGUUAAUG
rnacentral:lncRNA from 1 species